UACGAAGGGGGCUAGCGUUGCUCGGAAUCACUGGGCGUAAGGCGCACGUAGGCGGAUCUUUAAGUCAGGGGUGAAAUCCUGGAGCUCAACUCCAGAACUGCCUUUGAUACUGGGGAUCUCGAGUCCGGAAGAGGUGAGUGGAACUCCGAGUGUAGAGGUGAAAUUCGUAGAUAUUCGGAAGAACACCAGUGGCGAAGGCGGCUCACUGGUCCGGUACUGACGCUGAGGUGCGAAAGCGUGGGGAGCAAACAGG
rnacentral:rRNA from 1 species